UACGUAGGGGCCUAGCGUUGUCCGGAUUCAUUGGGCGUAAAGAGCUCGUAGGCGGCUUGGUAAGUCGGAUGUGAAACCUCCAGGCUCAACCUGGAGUCGCCAUCCGAUACUGCCAUGGCUAGAGUCCGGUAGGGGCCCACGGAAUUCCUGGUGUAGCGGUGAAAUGCGCAGAUAUCGGGAAGAACACCCGUGGCGAAGGCGGCUCUCUGGGACGGUACUGACGCUGAGACGCGAAAGCGUGGGGAGCGAACAGG
rnacentral:rRNA from 1 species